rnacentral:rRNA from 1 species
AUUGAACGCUGGCGGCAGGCUUAACACAUGCAAGUCGAGCGAGCGGCGGACGGGUGAGUAAUGUCUGGGAACCUGCCUGAUGGAGGGGGAUACCUCCUGGAAACGGUAGCUAAUACCGCAUACCAUUCGCUGUGCCCUGAUUGGAUUAGCUAGUAGGUGGGGUAAUGGCUCACCUAGGCGACGAUCCCUAGCUGGUCUGAGAGGAUGACCAGCCACACUGGAACUGAGACACGGUCCAGACUCCUACGGGAGGCAGCAGUGGGGAAUAUUGCACAAUGGGCGAAAGCCUGAUGCAGCCAUGCCGCGUGUGUGAAGAAGGCCUUCGGGUUGUAAAGCACUUUCAGCGAGGAGGCGUUACUCGCAGAAGAAGCACCGGCUAACUCCGUGCCAGCAGCCGCGGUAAUAC